UACAGAGGUCCCGAGCGUUGUUCGGAUUCAUUGGGCGUAAAGGGUGCGUAGGCGGCGGGGAAAGUCUGAUGUGAAAUCCUGGGGCUCAACCCUGGAACUGCAUUGGAUACUUCCUUGCUAGAGUACUGGAGAGGAAACUGGAAUUUACGGUGUAGCAGUGAAAUGCGUAGAGAUCGUAAGGAAGACCAGUGGCGAAGGCGAGGUUCUGGACAGUUACUGACGCUGAGGCACGAAGGCCAGGGGAGCAAACGGG
rnacentral:rRNA from 1 species